CCCCUCCGGUGUUCUCCGCUCUCCAAAGCUCUGCGGGCGCUCUCUCGCCUGCUCCGCUGCAGCGUACGGAGCCAGCGGUGUCGCCGCAGCCGGGAAAGGCAGCGCGGCGAGGGCAGCCCUCGCCGUCUUCCGAGGAUAUAGCGGCCCGCGGACGGGGUGCUCUCCUGGGCGCAGAGGUCGGGCACAGCAGGGUUGGGGUUGGGCCUUUUUGGGGCCGCCCGGAUCCCGCCGCGAACCCCUCUAGUGGAGGUCGGAAGCGUCGGCGGGUUUCGCGGCUCCCCGUGGAGCUGCCUCCGUGGUCGUCAAGGAGGGGCGUGGGGCCGCUCGGCCGCGGCCUGAGUCCCGGUGGUGCGGCGCGAAGGCCGCGCUGUAGAUCCCCGAGAGGGUCCGGGGCUGCAACCUUGGGGAAGGGAGACGGGGAGAGGCUGGGGGUUGAACUGGAAAUUUGAAGGGACGUGGCCCGCUUAAAAAUCGCCCUUCGGUUGCAAGUUUACAAGUUUAAAAGACGCGGUGACUUACUGCUGGACUCGCUUCGGCUGUCAUGUGACGGUCUGUGGUCGUUACAUUUAAAAAUGUUUCAUGGUUUCAGCUCUAUUUGGCUUAUUUAUAUCGGUUGUUUACUGAAGUGGAGGGGUGGGGAUCGAGUUGCGUUCUAGGCCUCUUGGCACACAAGAUGAAGCAGAAAACUUUGAACUGGCUUACUUGAUCGGGGUUGAAUUUGAAGUUGAUAGUAUAGCUCUGAGUCCUUGCCUGUGCAGAAUCACCCUGGAUUUCUUUGCACUGGUGGUCAGGUCAAUGACGUGGUUUUCAGCUGAAAAAGUUAAUUUUUGUACGUUACUCUUUAUGUUCAAAGUCUUGCUGGGUUUGAACUAGACUUGCGUUUGAUUUGUGAGUCGCUCUUACGAUAUCCUUGUAGAAUGGAAGAUUCCAAGGCUUGUCUUGUACCAGCCAGUGUGCUUGAGUUUUUCUUGCUAGGAUCUUGACACCAGCACUUUGUUUUUGUGAGCUAUUGGUUUGAAUUUUCUGGUACGCUCUUUGUACAUUUUUCAGCUGACGUAGAGGGAGCACGGUAUCCAUGUUGUUAAUCAUAAGGGACAGUUUGUUUGCUUGUUCCCUGCAUUACUAACAGUAUUAGUCCUUCCUGCUUCUGAAAUGAGCAAUUGAAUUUAUAGUUAGUGGUGAAGGAACACAGCGCCUGAUGGAGGCUGGUGAGAGAGAGCAGCUGCUGAACAAAAGUUCUGCUUAGAACUGUUUCACUGUCAAGUGAAUCAACUGUUGAUACAUCUGUGUUUUAAAUAAAGUGGUAGUGAAGAGGGUCUUGUUACAGUAUCAGGGCCUUGGUGUGCAAUUACCUUUCAACUAUUAUUCAGUUUUGUUUUGUUUUUUCCUUAGUGUUUUUAAACAGGUUAUGUUUAGAAGAAAGUUUCUACUGUGUUUGGCAAUGGUGUCCAAGCUCAUCGAUACUUCCUUUGUAACUUCAUGGUAAAACAGCUUCUGAGAGUAUCAGUUUAGUUACCACAUCAUCUGGAUCCAGAGGUCACUUUUAAGAAAAUGUGGACUGCUAAAAGUCUUUGUAGUGCUCAAAUACUGUUGCUUCAGUUGAAAAAAAGCAAAUCAUGUAGUUGUACAUUUCAAAAAACUCAGCAGUUCUGGAUUGGAAUUCUAAACUAUUGCACUGUAAGAGCACCCUGUAACAGAGUUCAGUUCCAAGUAAGUAUUUUUGUGGGGCUCUAGGUGUAACUGAUGGGCAUCAUUACGGUGAUAAUAUAAUUUCCUUGAGAACUGUACAGAGCUAAGCUUUUGACCUUGCAGCUUUAUUUAUGAAUUGAAGAUUCCUUUAGUAUAUCAAGGUAAAGGGGUUGGCAGCAACAAGUUGCAGGAGAACCAGUGUUUCAGAAUGGAUGUUUUUUGUCUGGCAGUUCUAAGUUGAGGGGAAAUACUAAUUUUUUAAAAAUUGUACUUCAGGCAAUACUGGAUUAUAUCUGACAGGCUUAUUAGUUAGAGUUCCAGCCAUUUGGUGAAGUAUAGGACCAGAGUUCUCUGGAAAACUUUACUAAUGCAAUAUUACACAAAAAAGUUGGGGGUGGGAGGGGAAGGUCAAUUUUUAUUGGAUUGGUGAGGGAGGAUAAAAACAUAAGAGUCUGAUUAUUAAAAAAA
rnacentral:lncRNA from 1 species